UACGUAGGCAGCAAGCGUUGUUCGGAAUUACUGGGCGUAAAGCGUGCGCAGGCGGUUCGUUAAGUCAGCUGUGAAAGCCCCGGGCUCAACCUGGGAAUUGCGGUUGAAACUGGCGGACUAGAAUCUGGCAGAGGGGGGUGGAAUUCCACGUGUAGCAGUGAAAUGCGUAGAGAUGUGGAGGAACACCGAUGGCGAAGGCAGCCCCCUGGGCUGAGAUUGACGCUCAGGCACGAAAGCGUGGGGAGCAAACAGG
rnacentral:rRNA from 1 species